rnacentral:rRNA from 1 species
UACAGAGGUCUCGAGCGUUAGGCGGAAUCACUGGGCUUAAAGCGUGUGUAGGCGGAUCGGUAAGUACCUUGUGAAAUCCCACAGCUUAACUGUGGAACUGCUUGGUAUACUGCCAGUCUUGAGCCACUUAGGGGCUACCGGAACAAAUGGUGGAGCGGUGAAAUGCGUAGAUAUCAUCUGGAACGCCAAUGGUGAAAACAGCUCGCUGGGGGUUUGCAGACGCUGAGACACGAAAGCCAGGGGAGCGAACGGGG